AGCAUACAGGUAUCUUACUUGACCCAUCAAGUAGAUGCCUUGUUCAUCAUCGGAGAGUAUUCUGCUCAAAAUCAGGCAGGGAGAAGAAACAUGCAGUAAUUUGAAAACGUGGCAAAUGUGAGAAGACAAAAUGGCCAACCGCAAAGACAGAGUAGCUGAUGAGAAGAAGAUAGACCUAGCUUCAAAAUUCAUCAACCAAGCACCUCCAGGCGAGUUUAAGGAAGUCUUCCAUGAUAUUCGGCAGCUGGUUAAUAAUGACAAUCUCCUCAAGGAAAGGAUAGGACAAGCAAUUGCUCAAUAUAACAUGCAUCAGUUCAUACCCGUGAAGAUAGAAGGGUAUGACGAUCAUGUUUUAGUUACAGAGCAUGGUCAUCUAGGCAACAACAGAUUUUUCGAUCCAAGAAACAGAAUUUCUUUUAAGUUUGAUCACUUACAAAAAACAAUCAGUGACCCCCAGCCAGGGAUUACAGAUGGAAAUUUAACAUAUCUCAGAGAGUCCUGUGAUAGGGCUUUAAAAGCCUAUAUGAAACAAUAUUAUUCUACUGGCUUUAGUACUGUUUAUGGUAAAACGAUACAGGGGGAAAAAACCAUUAUUGCAUGUAUUGAAAGCCACCAGUUUCAGCCCCAAAAGUUCUGGAACGGAUCCUGGAGAUCACAGUGGAAAUUAACCAUCACACCACCCACAGCACAGGUAAUUGGAAUGCUCAAGUCUCAUGUUCAUUAUUAUGAAAAUGGAAAUAUCCAGCUAGUUGCCCAUAAAGAUGUGCAAGAGUCAUUAACUGUUAUCAAUGAAGAUCAAACUGCGAAGGUAUUUAUUAAGAUCAUAGAGAUGGUAGAAAAUGGGUAUCAGGCAGCACUUACUGAAAACUACCACACAAUGUCAUGUACAACAUUCAAAGCCUUGCGCAGACAGCUUCCAAUUACCUACCACAAAAUCGACUGGAACAAUGUAUUUAACUACAAAGUUUGCAAAGAACUCAAGUUGAAACAUGCUUAAUGGCCCACUGUAGCAGUCUCUAGGAUGUGUGGGCAUAAAAGAUCCAAUAGGGUUUGCUCAUAAAAUAAAUAUGAGAGUGACUUAUUAAGAAAAUUAACCAAUUGAAAAAAAAAAGUUAACUGAUCUAGCUUCAUGGAUUAUUGCUGAACCUUUAACCCUGUUUGGAUUUAGUUAUAUAUCCUCUGCCUUGUUAAAUCAAACACCUAUGUCACUCUC